UACGUAGGGUGCGAGCGUUGUCCGGAAUUAUUGGGCGUAAAGGGCUCGUAGGCGGUCUGUUGCGUCGGGAGUGAAAACUCAGGGCUUAACCCUGAGCCUGCUUCCGAUACGGGCAGACUAGAGGUAUGCAGGGGAGAACGGAAUUCCUGGUGUAGCGGUGGAAUGCGCAGAUAUCAGGAAGAACACCGGUGGCGAAGGCGGCUCUCUGGGCCUCACCUGACGCUGAGGAGCGAAAGCGUGGGUAGCGAACAGG
rnacentral:rRNA from 1 species